AUGUCAUUCGCAUUCCUAUAUAAACGGCAAAUUCAUCUUCACAUUUCAUUUUGAACAAAAUCAACAUACGUGCAUGUACAUUCACUUUAUCAUGGCAAGGAAUUUCUUUCAGAGAGCUGUAAACCAGCUUAAAAACAAAGAGUUUCGGAAGUAUCUGAGGAGGUAUGUGCAUCCAGAGGCGCUUGCAGUUUAUGUAAAAAUCCAAUAUGUAAACUUUCCUUGUCAAUUGCCGUCAGUGUAUAAGAAGCUUAAACUCUUCACUUUGUUGUAGAUGUAAGCAUAAAGUCACUGCUUACAUUUGGGUCCCUCAUUGCAGAAGUGCUGCUGGUGAUCACAGAAUUGCACUUAUAAUUUUUUUUGUUUGUUUUCUUUGUCUUUCCGUGAUCUGAAUGUGCCUGUUGGGAAAAUCCUUACAACAAAAGCACGCACUUCUGGGGACCAGUUAUUAAUUGGGGUCUUCCCCUAGUCGCAGUCAGCGAUAUGAGGAAGAGCCCCGACAUCAUCAGCGGUCGAAUGACCUUCGCUCUUACCUGUUACUCAAUGAUAUUUAUGAGGUUCUCAUACCGAGUCCAGCCCCGAAACUGGCUCCUUUUUUCUUGCCACAUGGCCAAUGUGACGGCACAAGUGAUCCAGGGAGGCCGGCUCAUCCGACACAAAAUGCAGAACAAAAAUGCGAAAUGAGCCUUUGCAUGCAGUAGAUCAGAGCACAGACGGGUUCGUGCAGAUAAAGGCAAAUUGAGGAAGAUCUCUACCAGAUCCAUGCAUCAGAUCAGGAGAGCAGCUGCUAAAAUGCCAUUAUGUAGCAGCAAACAGAUAUUUGAAGCUGCUGGUGCCUCUGGAGUCCCAUGGACAUCAAGGUGUAGAGUCCUCCACUGCAACUGUGCAUAAACCUUCUAUUCUGCCGCCACUAACCAGUGCUCACAAGCAGAAACUGUCCAAAUACACAAGUUCAAUGGAUGCAAGACUUGUGAAGCUGCUAUCAAAUAAGGAGUCCUAUGUCAAAAUGUGACGUGACCUGUUUGAUUUCAGUACAUAUGUUGCAAACACAACAAAUGACAAUUUUCAGUUCUUUGCAACUUAUAAAGUGUUUUGCAGCUUACUGUGCAUAAUAAUUUGGAACAGUUCAUUGUAAGUGUUUUGUUUGACAAAAAAAUACUGUAAUCAUUAGAUUUGUUCAAUAAAAUUUGAAUUGCACUCAAUAGUUGACAACAUGAGAA